rnacentral:rRNA from 1 species
CCCUUAGAUGUUCUGGGCCGCACGCGCGCUACACUGAUGCAUUCAACGAGUCUAAAACCUGCUCUGAUAGGGGUGGGUAAUCUUUUGAAUGUGCAUCGUGAUUGGGAUAGAUGAUUGCAAUUUUUCAUCUUCAACGAGGAAUGCCUAGUAAACGCAAGUCAUCAGCUUGCAUUGAUUACGUCCCUGCCCUUUGUACACACCGCCCGUCGCUCCUACCGAUUGAAUGAUCCGAUGAAUAUCAUGGAUUGAGGAUUAUAGCAGGUUCGCCUGUCUUGAUCUUCGAGAAGUGAAGUAAAUCUUAUCAUGUAGAGGAAGGAGAAGUCGUAACA